rnacentral:rRNA from 1 species
UAUGGACGCACCAUACCACGUUGAAAGCACUGGUUCUCGUCAGAUCACCGAUGUUAAGCAACGUUGGGCCCGGUUAGUACAUGAAUGCCUUAGAUAUAACCAAAU